rnacentral:rRNA from 1 species
UACAGAGGUCUCGAGCGUUGUUCGGAUUCAUUGGGCGUAAAGGGCGCGUAGGCGGCGUGUUAAGUCACUUGUGAAAUCUCUAAGCUUAACUUAGAACGGUCAAGUGAUACUGAUGUGCUAGAGUGCAGAAGGGGCAACCGGAAUUCUUGGUGUAGCGGUGAAAUGCGUAGAUAUCAAGAGGAACACCUGAGGUGAAGACGGGUUGCUGGGCUGACACUGACGCUGAGGCGCGAAAGCUAGGGUAGCAAACGGG